GUCCGAAUGAUGUAGAUGGUUAUCAUAUCUGUCUAACACACAGAAUGUCCCAGGUUCGAGUCCUGGUUCGGACA
rfam:Fonticula alba strain ATCC 38817 unplaced genomic scaffold supercont2.3, whole genome shotgun sequence.